rfam:Stegodyphus mimosarum contig45342, whole genome shotgun sequence.
GCCUUCGUGGUGUAAUGGUCAGCACAGUCGGCUCAUAUUCGAGAGGUCCGUGUUUCAAAUCCUAGCGAGGGCA